rnacentral:rRNA from 1 species
AUUAAACUGAAGAGUUUGAUCCUGGCUCAGAUUGAACGCUGGCGGCAUGCCUUACACAUGCAAGUCGAACGGCAGCACGGGUGCUUGCACCUGGUGGCGAGUGGCGAACGGGUGAGUAAUACAUCGGAACGUACCUUAUCGUGGGGGAUAACGCAGCGAAAGUUGCGCUAAUACCGCAUACGCCCUGAGGGGGAAAGCGGGGGACCGUAAGGCCUCGCGCGAUUAGAGCGGCCGAUGUCUGAUUAGCUUGUUGGUGAGGUAAAAGCUCACCAAGGCGAUGAUCAGUAGCUGGUCUGAGAGGACGAUCAGCCACACUGGGACUGAGACACGGCCCAGACUCCUACGGGAGGCAGCAGUGGGGAAUUUUGGACAAUGGGGGCAACCCUGAUCCAGCAAUGCCGCGUGAGUGAAGAAGGCCUUCGGGUUGUAAAGCUCUUUUGUCAGGGAAGAAACAGCAGCUCUAACACAGUCUGCGAAUGACGGUACCUGAAGAAUAAGCACCGGCUAACUACGUGCCAGCAGCCGCGGUAAUACGUAGGGUGCG